ACAGCACUCUGCAAACACGAAAGUGGACGUAUAGGGUGUGACGCCUGCCCGGUGCCGGAAGGUUAAGUGAUGGGGUGCAAGCUCUUGAUCGAAGCCCCGGUAAACGGCGGCCGUAACUAUAACGGUCCUAAGGUAGCGAAAUUCCUUGUCGGGUAAGUUCCGACCUGCACGAAUGGCGUAACGAUGGCCACACUGUCUCCUCCCGAGACUCAGCGAAGUUGAAAUGGUUGUGAAGAUGCAAUCUCCCCGCUGCUAGACGGAAAGACCCCGUGAACCUUUACUGUAGCUUUGCAUUGGACUUUGAAGUCACUUGUGUAGGAUAGGUGGGAGGCUUUGAAGCAGAGACGCCAGUCUCUGUGGAGCCGUCCUUGAAAUACCACCCUGGUGUCUUUGAGGUUCUAACCCAGACCCGUAAUCCGGGUCGGGGACCGUGCAUGGUAGGCAGUUUGACUGGGGCGGUCUCCUCCCAAAGAGUAACGGAGGAGUUCGAAGGUUACCUAGGUCCGGUCGGAAAUCGGACUGAUAGUGCAAUGGCAAAAGGUAGCUUAACUGCGAGACCGACAAGUCGAGCAGGUGCGAAAGCAGGACAUAGUGAUCCGGUGGUUCUGAAUGGAAGGGCCAUCGCUCAACGGAUAAAAGGUACUCCGGGGAUAACAGGCUGAUACCGCCCAAGAGUUCAUAUCGACGGCGGUGUUUGGCACCUCGAUGUCGGCUCAUCUCAUCCUGGGGCUGUAGUCGGUCCCAAGGGUAUGGCUGUUCGCCAUUUAAAGAGGUACGUGAGCUGGGUUUAAAACGUCGUGAGACAGUUUGGUCCCUAUCUGCUGUGGGCGUUGGAGAUUUGACGGGGGCUGCUCCUAGUACGAGAGGACCGGAGUGGACACACCUCUGGUGUACCUGUUGUCACGCCAGUGGCAUCGCAGGGUAGCUAAGUGUGGAAGAGAUAACCGCUGAAAGCAUCUAAGCGGGAAACUUGCCUGAAGAUGAGAUCUCCCUGGGGACUCGAUCCCCCUGAAGGGUCGUUCAAGACCAGGACGUUGAUAGGCCGGGUGUGGAAGCGCAGUAAUGCGUGAAGCUAACCGGUACUAAUUGCCCGUGAGGCUUGACCCU
rnacentral:rRNA from 1 species